AACGCAUUAUGGGAGAUAAAAACCAAGUCAUUUUGUGAUGCUUUAAGAUAGCGCAGGGAAGGCAAAUCACGGAAAGUAAAAGCCAACAACACGAGGAUCUCAUUGUCGCUAAUAUCUAGUAACUGCAGUUUGGGUACAGAGCAGCCCAGACCAGCUGCUUGUUCAACAGAAUCCUCAAAAACAUCUGGAGGCCUGCCUGCAUCUGUAAGCAAAGGGCAGCUGAGGAGAGAGAGAGAGAGGAUUUCAAACAAUAUGUUUUAAUCGUGGCCCACAACAGGUACUUGAGUUGCUUGGAGACAGGAGUACACAGUCGCAGUGAUUGAUGACGAAGAAAGCUCAUCCCAAAAGUCGUAAACGAUAGACUUGUUUAAGACUCCCCCACGAGCACUCCAGCUGAACCAGAACAUAGAGAAAACAAAAACUGAAUUACAGUUAUUGCUGCCUCUACGACAGCUCCAGUUAUUGAAGAAAAGAUGGGACAGUUUUAUAGAAUCAGCUUUUGGAAAUGAAAAACUCACCUCUGGAAAAAAGUCCUUGUAGGAGUUAAUAAUCCAGUUCAAAAUCUAAAACUAUUGAGGAUAUGCAGGAGUCUCCUCUGGUCCCCUCUUGUUCGUGGAUGUGACUCUCCUCUGGUCCCCUCUUGUCUGUGGAUGGGAGGCUCUCUGCUCGCUGGAGGAUUAUAAGCACUGUCUCAUGGAUCUUUUCCAAAACACUCCUCUGGGCGACAGGAUGUAGCCACAGGUCAGCCAAAUAUAGAGAUUUAGGAGCAAACACCAGAUGGGAAUGAUUUAAAGCCACACUUAGGGAUAAAGAAAUCGGCUAUCGAGGGUUGAGGGGUGGACUUUGAUUAUAUUU